rnacentral:rRNA from 1 species
UACGAAGGGGGCUAGCGUUGCUCGGAAUCACUGGGCGUAAAGGGUGCGUAGGCGGGUCUUUAAGUCAGGGGUGAAAUCCUGGAGCUCAACUCCAGAACUGCCUUUGAUACUGAGGAUCUUGAGUUCGGGAGAGGUGAGUGGAACUGCGAGUGUAGAGGUGAAAUUCGUAGAUAUUCGCAAGAACACCAGUGGCGAAGGCGGCCCACUGGCCCGAUACUGACGCUGAGGCACGAAAGCGUGGGGAGCGAACAGG